rnacentral:snRNA from 1 species
AUACUUACCUGGCAGGGGAGACACCAUGAUCAUGAGGAU